rnacentral:lncRNA from 1 species
UAGCAAAGCUUUCCAGUGCUUGCAUUUGUGUUAGUUGUGUCAGUAUUUGUUCCUUGUUCAUUGAAAUCAUCUGUAAUUUGUAGAUCGCAAAGAAUGUGAAAAAAUAUUAUCAGAUGCUGCAGACUUUUUGACUACGGCCGUGCAGGAUGGAUACAGAGGCACACACUAAAGCAAAUUCUUAAGACCACCUCUUUCAGGAUGAAGGAUUCAGAAUUUGAGAACACUAAUCUGCCAGAAAAUAAAAGAGAAGGAACAGAAGCAGAAAAAACUUUUUCUCCAGUCUUCACCAGCAAACGUUUUCCUACAGCCAUCACCAGCUGAGCGUGCUGUGACAGAGCACGGUCUGGAUAGCACCGAGAGGCAUUUAGAGAAAAGCUGUGUUCAGCCUAUGAGGACAUUGAAAAAGCCUUCAGAGCAAUUGAUGUCAGUCAGAGUGGAUUUGUGUCUUUGGAUUACUUGAAGUCAGUUAUAAAUGGCUUUAUAUUUCCUUUGCCAAAUGAAACUUUUCAAGAGCUAAUGAAUAGAUUUGGACUGAAAGCCACAGGUAAAAUUGCUUGGCAACAAUUUUUAGAAAAUUUCCAGGAUCCUGGAAGCACCUUUGAAAACAGGCAGAUGAUUCCUAUGAGAAAAACACAUAAAGUAAAUCCAGCCAGAGGAGAUGAAGCUUUCUCCAGUGACACUGUUCUUCAGAAGCUGCACAGAUACAUCCAAGAUGCUUAUCCCCCUUUAAAGCAGGCAUUCCUUAUGCUUGAUGAACAAUGGAAUAUUCACAACCAGCUCUUCUAG